rnacentral:rRNA from 1 species
GUUGAACGCUGGCGGCAGGCCUAACACAUGCAAGUCGAGCGGGGUCUUCGGACCUAGCGGCGGACGGGUGAGUAAUGCGUAGGAAGCUGCCCGAUAGAGGGGGAUACCAGUUGGAAACGACUGUUAAUACCGCAUAAUGUCUACGGACCAAAGUGUGGGACCUUCGGGCCACAUGCUAUCGGAUGCGCCUACGUGGGAUUAGCUAGUUGGUGAGGUAAUGGCUCACCAAGGCGACGAUCUCUAGCUGGUUUGAGAGGAUGAUCAGCCACACUGGAACUGAGACACGGUCCAGACUCCUACGGGAGGCAGCAGUGGGGAAUAUUGGACAAUGGGCGCAAGUCUGACCCAGCCAUGCCGCGUGCAGGAUGAAGGCGUUAUGCGUUGUAAACUGCUUUUAUACAGGAAGAAACGACUCUUGCGAGAGGCAUUGACGGUACUGUAUGAAUAAGCACCGGCUAACUCCGUGCCAGCAGCCGCCGUAACAC